AUGGGUGUCCCCGGAGAGCUAACGCUUCUGCUCCUGCUAAGCUUGCUCGACUCGGGGAGGGCAGACUUCGCGAGCGACCCAACGUAGUGCGGGAACCAGGUGAUCGGCCUGGCGACGUGCCUGGCCUACGUCCAGGGCCACGCCGAGGAUCCCUCGCCGGACUGCUGCUCCGGCCUCAAGCAGGUGGUGGCGAAGAGCUUCAGGUGUCUCUGUGUUCUCAUCAAGGACAAGAAUGAACCCAACCUCAUCAGGUUCAACUUCACUCGCGCUCUUCUUCUUUCUCCCAAGUGCGAUGUUACUGCUAAUCUUUCCGAGUUCCCAAGGCUGCUGAACCUUGCGCCGAAUUCCGCAGAAGCAAAGUUGUUCGAGCAAUUUGGGAAGGAUAUCCAAGCGAAUGCUGCAAGUGCCGGUGUUGGCAACUCAACCGGAAAUGCUAGCCCUAAAGAAAAUAAAAAUGGUGGAAGGGACAAGACCUUAUGAAAUGCAAGUGAUGGUGAAAGCAACAAA